rnacentral:lncRNA from 1 species
GUGCUUGACCCUAAAGACGUGUAAGUUUCCCUAAGGACCCCCAAGGGGUGCUGGCCCGGCAAGGGGUGUUGGAGUCACUGGAGCGUGAGCCACGGUCACGGUAUAGCGAGACACCGGCCGCGGUAAUUGAGCGGAUGGUAGAGGCCGGGCUGCGCCCGGUAAACUGCAUUGUUGCCCUGUUAUGUUUGUGAUUUAUUUGCAUAGACAAGAUAGUUGUAUUUUGCUAUUGUUUUUUUGUGAACUGCAAUGCGCCGUGAGACUGCUAUCCUCGCGCAUCCCGUGACAUGUGACUAUUUUGUUUGGUGCAUAUGUUAGAAGAAUGGGGAGUACCGCCGUACUAAUCCGCAAGGGGCGUGCGUGUACUAGUGGUCAUACUCUGUGACGAUUCCGCGAUUAGAAUGCGCUGCGAAUCAUUUAGCGCGAAGUUCAAGUAGAGCCGUAGCCAAGUCUAUGUAAACAUGGCCGGCCAGUACCUGCUAUGGUCCGUGCCAAAACUCAAAUGUGCGCUCUUUCAACGAAACGCUUCGACAGCUGGAAGGAAACUUGAACUGAUCGAGAGACUUGAAUCUUAUGACAGAAAUGAUGAUUUUGUUGGGCCAUCUGUCUCCAUCCCACGUCCAGAAGAUACAUCAUGGCCAGUGUCAGGAUUUCAACAGCUGAUGCCUUCCCAUCGUCAACUACUGCCUCCCAUUUCCAAAGAAAUCAUUGAGGGUUAAUUCAUCUACCGUAUGACAGGAGACAACCAAGCUGCCCAUGAUAUCAAGGCCAUAGAGAAAGGUUCUCUGAUGUUUGAGGGGGACAGGGUGCUGGCAUGCAGUGUUCACAUACGUGCAUCUAAUGAUGUAUACUUAAGUGGCAUCGUCAGUGCAUCUAUGAAAAACAAGGUAAAAUAUUUACACACCAUAAAAUAAAAAUAAAAAAUAAAACCUUUUUAAGUUAUAAUGAAAUUUGUACUCAAAGAUGAAGCUAAUCCGAAAUACAUUCUUGACAUAAUACCGAUUGAAAGUGAAUUUAUUAAUGGGAAAUGUAUUUGCGUUUUCAUAUUGUAUUUUACGGUGUAUAACACAGUUCAUAAAAUGAUUUUAAAAGACCAUUACCAGUAAUAAUCUGUAGCUUAGGAUCGGUGUUUCAUGCAAAACACGAGUUAGCUCCCUUUGCCCUUUGUUUACAAUUGUUUCGCUAGUACUUUCGUGCACUUUCAGUUGUUUAUGUCAUCGUCUCAUCUAAAUUUAUAUACUUGUUUAAAUUGUUUAAAGACUUUAUUGCCAUUUACCAUUAAAGUAAUCAUAACGUUUUAGCUUGUGUAGUAAACUGUAAUCUGAUAGUACUAACCAUGUUGUCGAUGUAAACACAGGAGUUACUUCCCUUAGCUUCAGGAAUUGUGAACUGUCUUGUGUCGUUUUGGAUGAUGAUGUCGAGGUGUUGCAAAAGCAGUCAAUUAGUUUUCCUUUUUGUAUUUUAACCUAGUCCGUAAACAUAAAUGUUUUACUUCUAGACUGAUAAUAAUAUCACAAUCUAGACUGUGUCGUGUUGCAUUAGUGAUCAUUGUUGGAGACAAAACCAUAACAGUAGUUUUGUUUUCCUCCAUGGGAGUCACCAUGGAGAUGUGUUGCUCCAUCUGAAGUGUCUCAGCUGUUUGUAGACUCCUUGGGGGUUACGCCAUGGGUGGCUACAAUUCUGGCUACUACAGCGAAUAAAAGUGAUGGAAGAGUGAUAUUUUACUUAGUCCUCUUUAACCCCCCACACAAACACAACUUAUCCGCCUCGUAAUGGUGCUUUGGGAUGGUCCAGUUCAAUAAGUGUUGAUGUUUUGAUCGAGGGAUGUUCUUAAAAUAGAACUCAAUUCACGUUGUCCUGCUUCA